GACGUAGGGGGCCAGCGUUGUUCGGAUUCAUUGGGCGUAAAGGGUGCGUAGGCGGCGCGGUAAGUCGGGUGUGAAAUCUCGGAGCUUAACUCCGAAACUGCAUUCGAUACUGCCGUGCUUGAGGACUGGAGAGGAGACUGGAAUUUACGGUGUAGCGGUGAAAUGCGUAGAUAUCGUAAGGAAGACCAGUGGCGAAGGCGGGAUCCUGGGCCAGUACUGACGCU
rnacentral:rRNA from 1 species